UACGUAGGUGGCAAGCGUUGUCCGGAUUUAUUGGGUUUAAAGGGUGCGUAGGCGGCUUGAUAAGUCAGUGGUAAAAUCGUGUGGCUUAACCAUACUUCGCCAUUGAUACUGUUAGGCUAGAAUGCGGGUGAGGAUGCUGGAAUGAGUGGUGUAGCGGUGAAAUGCAUAGAUAUCACUCAGAACACCGAUUGCGAAGGCAGGCAUCUGGUCCGCUAUUGACGCUGAGGCACGAAAGUGUGGGGAGCAAACAGG
rnacentral:rRNA from 1 species